AUUCUAUAAUUGAGACAAACAAUUGUGUCUGAAUAUGCCUACUUUCAUACUAUAUGGUAGGUGAAAAACAGUAUAUGAACAGAGUAGUAUGUCUGAAUUCAUAGAAUUCGAAAAAUACAGAUGACCUACUACUUCUUAUUACUAUUCAGUCUGUUAAUAUUUUCCCAUAUUGUUAGGCUUAUAGAUAAAAUACAAGUUCUUAUAAGUUCUUUUUUUAUUUCAUUGUUUAAUUGUGUAUAAUAAACAAUUUUGAUGCUGUUUUACGGCACCAAAUCUAGGUCCCGAAGAAAAACUACUGACAUAGUCUGCUGAAUAUAAUUUUCUAUGGUAAUGGAGAACUUCAGUUUACUAGUAUUCCAAUUAGUAAUGGAUUCAAGUGAAAAGCAUUAGGUCUUUGGGAAUAAUCCUUCUGACAUCUUAACAAAGGACUUUAGUUUGAUGAGUGACACCACAGCGUAUGCUCAGGUUUACUGAUGUAUUCUUGCCACCUUAUGUACGAUCAAAUUCAAUGCCAAGCAAUGGGAAAAAAAGAAGUUAACAAAGACACCUAUCGGUUUCAGCUGGGAACAUGCCAACUAUCAAAAUAUUGCUUGAGGAGAUACUAAAGUUGGAGUAGAAGUGGCCAAACAACUUAUCUGGCUUUCUCUAGAGAAAUAAAGGAGCUAAUGGGCCGGGUCGCUAUCACCGUUUCCUUCCGUCCAAUCAAGCUUUCGUCCCUGAGAAAUGGAAUGCUCAUCUACAUAUCAAGUUCACACAGUGUAGCCACCGAAAGCUUGAAUGGAAAUAAACAGCAGAACAACCUUGA